CCCUUAGAUGUUCUGGGCCGCACGCGCGCUACACUGAUGCAUUCAUCGAGUUUCUUCCUGGUCCGAGAGGAAUGGGUAACCUUUUGAAAGUGCAUCGUGAUAGGGAUAGACUAUUGCAAUUAUUGGUCUUCAACGAGGAAUUCCUAGUAGACGUAGUUCAUCAGACUGCAUCGAUUACGUCCCUGCCCUUUGUACACACCGCCCGUCGCUCCUACCGAUUGAAUGCUCAGGUGAGCCAUUCGGACUUUCAUCAUGCUGGUUUCCAGUUUUGAUGAAGGAAAGUCUUGCGAACCUUAUCAUUUAGAGGAAGGAGAAGUCGUAACA
rnacentral:rRNA from 1 species